rnacentral:rRNA from 1 species
AUUGAACGCUGGCGGCAGGCCUAACACAUGCAAGUCGAACGAGUGGCGAACGGGUGAGUAAUAUAUCGGAACGUACCGAGUAAUGGGGGAUAACCAAUCGAAAGAUAGGCUAAUACCGCAUAUUAUUCGAGCGGCCGAUAACUGAUUCGCUAGUGGGUGGGGUAAAGGCCUACCAAGGCGACGAACAUUAGCGGGGCUGAGAGGACGCUCCGCCACACUGUGACUGAGAAACUGCCCAGACUCCUCCGGGAGGAAGCAUUGGGGAAUUUUGGACAAUGGGGGCAACCCUGAUCCAGCCAUGCCGCGUGUAUGAAGAAGGCCUUCGGGUUGUAAAGUACUUUUGUUAGGGAAGCGGUACCUAAAGAAUAAGCACCGGCUAACUACGUGCCAGCAGCCGCGGUAAUAC